CAGUUCAGAUUGCAGGCUGCAACCCGCCUGCAUGAAGUCGGAAUUGCUAGUAAUCGUAGGUCAGCAUACUACGGUGAAUACGUUCCCGGGCCUUGUACACACCGCCCGUCAAACCAUGAGAGUUGGCAACACCCGAAGUCGGUAGUCUAACCGCAAGGAGGACGCCGCCGAAGGUGGGGUUGAUGAUUAGGGUUAAGUCGUAACAAGGUACC
rnacentral:rRNA from 1 species